UAUAAUAUAUCACUAUGGAUCCUGGGAGC
rnacentral:piRNA from 1 species